ACCGCGCGUCCCCCAGGAGGGUCUGGAGGGCGACAUGAGGCUGCGUUGGAGCUCUGCGGAGGGCCGGCUCUGGAGCCACCUCUCUCACUCUAGGCCUUUGCAAUCACCCCUCCUACUCUCUGUGUUGGGGGCACAGUAAGGUGUUUAUCAUUACUCCCCUAACUUUGCACCUUACGUUAUAUCCGUCCCUUCAGUUAGGGACAGGCUGGUCCCUUCUAAGAUACGUGGUCUGAGUCACAAACCUAUGCCUGCAUUCAUAGCUACAAAUGCAAAGGAGAGGGUGUGUUCUACCACAUGGUCCCUUUCUCUGUUUUAAAUACACAUCUCAUAAGAACUUAGGCUUUACAUUCAGAAACGAGAUGCACAACAACCUGUAAGAGGCCCCUGCUCCCUUGAAAGCAGCUUUUAAACAAGAAUGGGCACUGCUGGCAGGUAUUAAUGAUACAUACUUCGGAUUAGAAGAGGAAUGCUAUUUUUUGCCCUAUACUGAUAGAAGAUGAGAGCAGGGGAUGUUGGUGUUACCAAGAAGUGGAGAGUAGUAGUAGACUAGUAUUAAUAAUUACUAUUCUUCCUGCAAACUGUAUGCCUACUGUGGCAGUGAUGGAUUGCCCUUAUUCAGCAGCCAGAAAUUCUCAAAGCCUAAACAGGGGCCUCGCAGCAUCAGCAUCACUUAGGACCAGACGGAAAUACAAAUUCCUGGGCAUUUUUAAACCUAAAGUUAUGGACCCAGAGGUCUAUGUCUCACGAGCCCUCCGGGUAAUUCUGAGGCAUGCUAACAGCCGAGAACCACUGGCCCGGGCUGCUGUGCAAGGCUGAUCCUGUGUGAGUCACAGAGCUUUCCCUGCAGGAUUUUACAGUUUACCAAUCUCUUUCACACUCACUAGGCCAUUCUGGCCUCACUUCAGUCCUACUAGUCUGUGAGUUUCCUGACUCUGUUAAGCCUUUCCCACAUUCCAAUGCCUUAUUUUGAUGUGUAUCCUAAAAGAGACCUAGUUGUUAAGAAUUUACUACAGUCAGGGAGCCACUUUCUAAACUAAGCCGCUCCAUUUUUAGAAAAUUGGAAUUUAGAAUGGGCUGGGAAUGCAAAAACACCCCCCAUAUCCACUACACAGUAUCAGGCACAAUUUGGGAAUGCAAAGCUAUAAGCCUUUCGAAUUUUCAAUGGUGAGGAAUGGCAGAGUGCCAGAGCAGAUCGUGGGUAGGACUAGGCAGCGGGUGGGGGCAGGUUCCCUUGGUACAAAGGAGAGGAACAUACUGCUCUCUGCCUGAGCUGAGAGAAGUGCAGAAGCCCCACAAACCCUUUCUCUGUUUUAAAUACACAUCUCAGAGAAAGGGGUGGCAAGAGUGUGGAGCACACAGUGGGCCCCCUGACCCAUGUUCAUGAACUGACUCCAAGUUGAAGAAAAGAAGAAUCGGUUCUUCAGGCCUGAGAGAUGGCUCAGCAGUUAAGAGUGCUGGAUGCUCCUACAGAGAACCUGGAUUUGAUUCCCAGCACCCACAUAGCAGCUAACAAUGGUCUGUAAAUCCAGUCCCAAGGGAUCCACCCUCUGGCCACCCUCUUCUAGUCUACCUGGCACCAGGUACAGACAUGGUACACAGUCAUACGUGCAGGAAAACACUCAUACAUACAAAAAUAAAGUAAAUAAAUACAUAACAAAAACUUAAAAGAUCCUUCAGGAAACAGAAAACAUCUUAAAAUUUGAAAACAUCUUAUAUCUCAUUUCACUACCAAAUCAAUGUUCACCUUAAGUUUGGUUUUAUUUGUUUGAGGCAGCUCAGUCUAGCCUCUAACUUGUGAUCAGUCUCUAACUCCUGGCUCAGCCUCCCAAAGGUUAAGACUACAAGCAUUUGGCUUGUUUGAUUAUUAUGUUAUCAUGUACUUAACACAUGAUGUCCAAGGUGUGAAACUCAUCAAUGGAAAGUCUUUGGUGUUUUUCAUAAAAUCCACUUUGUUUUCCUUCUUUUGGGGGUGUGCUAUUGGAAAUUAAACCCAGAGACUCACACCCACCAAGCUUGAAUUCUCCCCUAAACUACACCUCCAUCCCUAAACCAUGUCUAACUUUCCUAGUUAUUUGGAAACUGGGAUAAUGGCUAUCUAACUUUUGGAGUGUUGUCUAGCAUUUAGACACCACCUGACACAGGAUUAAAGGUCAUGGCUUCUAUCACAGAUGUCAUCCAGUUUCUAGAUGAUUCCAUAAAAUUCAAACCUGUCCAAGCCAUUUCUGAAUUUCACAAGAGAACAUACUACAUAAUAAUUCUGCUACUUCAAAGGAAAUUUGGAAGUGACGUCAUUGGAGAGACUGGAUGAUGGGCAAAGGCUGUUUUGAAGUCAGUGGCAGAUUUUCAUUGGCCAGAGUAAACAAAUAAACAAAUAAGUACUUGAGAUUUAUACAACUCAAAAGUAUUUUGGCUGAUUGAAAUUCUGCUUAAAGGACUGAAUCGAUCAUCCUAUUGUUCUCCCUCGCUUUGAGAAAAUACAAGCACAAACUAUAUGUUUAUAUGUAAGAUAUGACAAACAUUUGCAGACUCACAAAGCAAGAGUCUGUAUUUGGCAUAUAGGAAUAGAAUUUUCCCUUUUGUUUUGACACAUCUAAUUAUUAUAAGUAUGAUGUAGUGGGAAGAAUGCUAGUCUUACGUCAAAAAUUUUAUGGGAGAAUUCUGGUUCUGUUUUGGACAACCAAAUCAAUGAACCUCUUUAACCCAAGUUCUUCUCAACUGUGAAUCAAAGGGUUGUGACAUGUCUGCCCACAUUGCUUUUGUGACCAGCCAAGGGGACAGUUCUUAUGAAAUGCCUGUGCUGAACACAUGGUUGAUGUCAGUAAAUCCCAAUGAAGCAAGUAAUGGGCCCACACCCCUAGGUUGUAGGGGCAGGAUUGACCUACUAAGCAUGUUCUUCGAAUAGAAAUCUCAAUUAGAAUAAUAAACAAAGUCAUCCCUCACUACAUUUGCUAACCUGAAUAUAUAUAUGAGUGUUCCAGAAUCCUGUGUCCUUGUCAACACCCAGGUCAGUUUGGUGAACUGAUGCUUUUUCCUGUGGAGGACAAAGUGCGAAAAUGCCCAGAUUAACACUUCCCUUCAGUGAUGUCAUGCAAAGAAAUCAACUUCUUUUGCAUUAGGAGGAGUAAACUAUACAAAUAACCAUCGAAGAGAUUGGCUGAAGUGCUGGUGAUGUCACAAUCCCACCACCUAAGCCUACGGUUCUUACUGGCUUUUUUAAGAGGACGGGAGCACUGGGAAGGUUCUACAUUACUCCACAAUUGCUGAAAGCUCUGAGCUUAAACUAAAUUUUACCUUUUUUUCCUGUUUUUCUUAAAAUGUGCCCAGAGCCUUUUUACAUGUUAUUACAUUUCUCACAUUAUUCCAUGUUAUUGCUUAGUUGUAUUCUCUAGGUCACUGUAACCAUUUUGAAUAAUUUCUUUACAACCUAUCAAAUAAAUCUCUCAUGGUUCAAUCACUA